CUACGGGGGGCUGCAGCAGGGAAUAUUGCACAAUGGACGGAAGUCUGAUGCAGCGACGCCGCGUGGAUGAUGAAGGCCCUCGGGUUGUAAAAUCCUUUUCAGGGGGACGAGGAAGGACGGUACCCUUGGAAUAAGCGUCGGCUAACUACGUGCCAGCAGCCGCGGUAAGACGUAGGACGCAAGCGUUAUCCGGAUUUACUGGGCGUAAAGCGUCUGUAGGCGGAAUGGUAAGUUGGACGUGAAAGCUCCGGGCUCAACUCGGAGAGGUCGUUCAAUACUGCCAAACUAGAGGGCAUCAGAGGAGCGUGGAAUUUCCGGUGUAGCGGUAAGAUGCGCAGAUAUCGGAAGGAACACCAAUGGCGAAGGCAGCGCUCUGGGAUGAACCUGACGCUAAGAGACGAAAGCUAGGGGAGCGAACAGGAUUAGAUACCCGCGUAGUC
rnacentral:rRNA from 1 species